CUCUGCGCAAGGGAUCUUUUGGUUCGCUAGACGAAGAAGGGCGCAGCGGAAUGCGAAAUGUGCAGGAGUCGCAGCGAAGAUAGCACAUGCCUGAAAUCACGAGAGUGUGAGACUACCCCUUUGAAUUAAGCAUAUGAGUAAAGGGAGGAAAAGAAACUAACAAGGAUUCCUGUAGUAGCGGC
rnacentral:rRNA from 1 species